rnacentral:rRNA from 1 species
ACGAACGCUGGCGGCGUGCCUAAUACAUGCAAGUCGAGCGGAAUGAUGAAGAAGCUUGCUUCUUCUGAUUUUAGCGGCGGACGGGUGAGUAACACGUGGGCAACCUACCUUGUAGAUUGGGAUAACUCCGGGAAACCGGGGCUAAUACCGAAUAAUCCAUUUUGCUUCAUGGCGAGAUGUUGAAAGACGGUUUCGGCUGUCACUACAAGAUGGGCCCGCGGCGCAUUAGCUAGUUGGUAGGGUAAUGGCCUACCAAGGCGACGAUGCGUAGCCGACCUGAGAGGGUGAUCGGCCACACUGAGACUGAGACACGGCCCAGACUCCUACGGGAGGCAGCAGUAGGGAAUCUUCCACAAUGGACGAAAGUCUGAUGGAGCAACGCCGCGUGAGUGAAGAAGGUUUUCGGAUCGUAAAACUCUGUUGUAAGGGAAGAACACGUACGAGAGUAACUGCUCGUACCUUGACGGUACCUUAUUAGAAAGCCACGGCUAACUACGUG